GACGUAGGGCGCGAGCGUUGUCCGGAUUUAUUGGGCGUAAAGAGCUCGUAGGCGGCUUGUCGCGUCAACUGUGAAAACCCGCGGCUUAACUGCGGGCUUGCAGUUGAUACGGGCAGGCUAGAGUUCGGUAGGGGAGACUGGAAUUCCUGGUGUAGCGGUGAAAUGCGCAGAUAUCAGGAGGAACACCGGUGGCGAAGGCGGGUCUCUGGGCCGAUACUGACGCUGAGGAGCGAAAGCGUGGGGAGCGAACAGG
rnacentral:rRNA from 1 species